rfam:Myotis davidii contig191585, whole genome shotgun sequence.
GGUGGUUCUCGGGUGACACACCCCAGAAUUGGGCUCCCUACUCUCUGGUUCCGGGUGUGUCACCCAAGAACUGCA